GAAAAACAACCUAAAUCUACCCAAGAUCCAUGUGAACCCAUCCCUACUUCCUUUCUUUCUUUCUUUCUUUCUUUGUUUCUUUCUUUUCCAUUCUUUCUUUCUUCUCCACGAUGCUCUCUCUCUCCUUGUUACCGAUAGUUCACUUUGGCCGGAAAAGGAGAUGCAUCGGUGAUAGUUCAAGCCUUUACCACUCUAUUUUCUCUCUCUACUCACCGUUGUUGAGCUUCGUAACUUCCUACAGUGGAGUUGCAUAUUUUUGGUAUUGUUUUCCGGUGAGCCAAACAAUUUCCGACAGCAAGCUUCAAAUAGAUUACAUAGGUAUUUUCUCAACUCCUCCAUAGUAAGGAUCUCAAUGAAGCUGUAUUCUCACCACAGGCAGUGAGUAAUAAUACAUAAUAUUUUACCAAAUUCAUGAAUA